ensembl:lncRNA
CCUGUUCUUAAUCCUGUUGUGUUGUUGUUGUCCGGACUCACCUCAACCUGGUCUAAUCCUAGUGUGUUUGUUUGUUUGUUCAGGACUCACCUCAACCUGGUCUAAUCCUAGUGUGUUUGUUUGUUCAGGACUCACCUCAACCUGGUCUAAUCCUAGUGUGUUUGUUUGUUUGUUCAGGACUCACCUCAACAGGAGGAAAAAAAGAAAAAGAAGCGACACCAAAAUAUGAUUGAGUUCACAAGCAGGCAGUCUAGCCAGCAGACACAUGGGUCUGUCUGGUCCCAGAAGGAGCCCAGUGGACUGAGGAGAUGGGGAGAGAGAGGCAGCUCUAGCCCCAAACCUCCGGGUUCUACUCUACUCCCUCUGAGGUCUGACCUCCAGUCCACCAGCCUGAACCUAGAACAUCCGGAACUCAGAACCCUACCCGUUGGAACCCUGACAUGGAACCCCAGUGGAUGGUGGCAGAGCCUGAGUGCCUGUCUCCCAAAUGGCACCCUAAUCCCUAUAUAGUGCACUACUUAUGACCAGGGCUUUACAUUUGACCAGAGCCCUGGUCAUAAGUAGUGCACUAUAUAGGGAAUAGGGUGCCAUUUGGGACAUAGAGAGGGUAUUUUAUGUUUUAACUACCCCUCCUGCCUCAGAGGAACUUUUUAAAGUGUUGUAUUGUGUUUUAACUGAAAAGCCAUUUUGCAUGCUCCUCCUUUGAUUUUGAUUUUUUAAUGUUAUUUUAAAAGUGAUUAUUUGUUAGAUUUGUCUCGUGCAAUGAUGUCCUCCCCAAAACACCCCUCUCUUCCGCUUUUGUCUCGUCAAAUCCAGUUUGAGCCAGGCUGUGUGACUGUGUGUUUGUCUGCUCAUCUCUGUGCGUGCGUGAAAAGGGGUGAAUCUGUAUUCAGAGGUGGAUGAAUGGCCCUGAAACAGAUGGGUUCUUUAGAUAAUAAUGGACAGUUUGUAUUAAAUUGUCUCCUUCAUGCCAGAGUCUCCAAACAUGGUAGCUAAAGAUGAAUUCCAUAUUGCUUCUGCCUGCUCCUCCUAAACACACCAUAGGUGCAGAAUAUAUGGUCCUGUAUUGGGUUACUAGUAGCCAACCCCAAUGUGUGUCGAUCUGAGGAGGGCUGAUAUAUUAAUAUAAUAUUAUAUAUAUAUAUAUAUUAUAUAUAUAUAUAUAUUAUUAUAUAUAUAUAUAAGUAUAUAGAUAUAUAUAUAUAUAUAUAUCUAUAUAUAUAUAUUAUAUCUAUAUAUAUAUAUAUAAGCAAUAUGUAAAAACAUAAAUGACAACCUUGUCUAUAAGCUGGUGACACCAUAUUGUUUAUUACGAACCACUUGUAUUUUAUGUCAGGGUUUGGGUUGAGGGUUGAUUUUGGGUUUGGGGUGCAGGGAGUGUGUAAAGGGGGAAAACCAGGAAACAUGUUUUUUGUUUUAUGUUGCCUUUUUGUGGCCACAGUGCCUCUGAUUGGUGGGCCUGGUAGGCUGUGACGUCAGAUUCUGUCCACUCUGCUUGGGAUGCUAUGUUCUGAGACCUGCUUUAUAAAUAAACUUUCUUUACAAAAAAAAAGGAAACAUGCCAUUCAUUAAUGUCCUGAAGAUGUCAACGUUAUAUUUUUCAGAUAGUUUUUUUCUACCUGUUGAAGUUUAGAAGAUAACAUUAUGCAAUGAUCAACGGUUAAUUA